UACCGCAUAGUAUACAGAUUCAGCUAGUUGGGACUGUUAAUUAAACUAUUUAGUAGGGUAAGAGAGUGGGCAUGCGUUCUAUUAGUUAGUUGGAGUGGUAACGGCCACCCAAGACAGCGAUAGAGUACGGGGCCCUGAGAGGGGGAUCCCCCCACACUGGUACUGAGACACGGACCAGACUCCUACGGGAGGCAGCAGUGAGGAAUAUUGGACAAUGGGCGAGAGCCUGAUCCAGCCAUGCCGCGUGCAGGAAGACGGCCCUAUGGGUUGUAAACUGCUUUUGUACGGGAAGAAACACCCCCUCGUGAGGGGGCUUGACGGUACCGUAAGAAUAAGGAUCGGCUAACUCCGUG
rnacentral:rRNA from 1 species